rnacentral:tRNA from 1 species
GAAUCGUUUGUCUAAUGGUAGAAUUUUACCUUGCCAAGGUAGGGGUCCGGGUUCGAUUCCCGGACGAUGCACGA